rnacentral:tRNA from 1 species
GGCUCGUUGGUCAAGAGGUUAAGACGUCGCCCUCUCACGGCGAAAUCAUCGGUUCGAUUCCGGUACGAGCUACUA